GACGGGUGGAGUAAUGUCUGGGAAACUGCCUGAUGGAGGGGGAGUAACUACUGGAAACGGUAGCUAAUACCGCAUAACGUCGCAAGACCAAAGAGGGGGACCUUCGGGCCUCUUGCCAUCGGAUGUGCCCAGAUGGGAUUAGCUAGUAGGUGGGGUAACGGCUCACCUAGGCGACGAUCCCUAGCUGGUCUGAGAGGAUGACCAGCCACACUGGAACUGAGACACGGUCCAGACUCCUACGGGAGGCAGCAUG
rnacentral:rRNA from 1 species